CUUUUAAAGGAAAAAAGCAAUCCAAUGGCGUUAGGAGCCACCAUACU
rnacentral:tRNA from 1 species